rnacentral:rRNA from 1 species
AACCUGGUUGAUCCUGCCAGUAGUCAUAUGCUUGUCUCAAAGAUUAAGCCAUGCAGGUCUAAGUAUAUGCCGCUUUAAGGUGAGACCGCGAAUGGCUCAUUAUAUCAGUUGUGGUUCCUUAGAUCUUCGGUUACACUUGGAUAACCCUGGUAAUUCUAGAGCUAAUACAUGCAUUACAGCACCGACCUUCCGGAAGGUGUGUUUUUAUCAGCCCAAAACCAAUCGUUGCUUUCGGGUGACGGCCCUUGGUGAUUCAGAGUAACUUUGUUCAGAUCGCAUGGUUUCUUGCCAGCGACGCAUCUUUCAAAUGUCUGCCUUAUCAACUUGUUGGUUGGUUAAAUGCCAACCAAGGUGUUCACGGGUAACGGAGAAUCAGGGUUCGGUACCGGAGAGGGAGCCUGAGAAACGGCUACCACAUCCAAGGAAGGCAGCAGGCACGCAAAUUACCCACUCCCGGCUCGGGGAGGUAGUGACGAAAAAUAACAAUACCGGACUCUUCCGAGGCUCGGUAAUUGGAAUGGGUACACUUCAAAUCCUUUAACGAGGAUCUAUUGGAGGGCAAGUCUGGUGCCAGCAGCCGCGGUAAUUCCAGCUCCAAUAGCGUAUAUUAAAGUUGCUGCGGUUAAAAAGCUCGUAGUUGGAUCUCAGUCUCGAUCGGACGGUCCGCUCCAUGGCGGUUACUGUUCGAAUCGGACAUUGGGCCGCGUUCUCGGGUAUCCUCUUCACUGAGUGUACUCGAGGAGCGGCACGUUUACUUUG